GGGCUGGUAGUUCAGUGGUAGAAUGCUUGGUUGGCAAUCAAGAGGUCGGGGGUCCGAUUCCCCCUCAGUCCACCA
rnacentral:tRNA from 1 species